rnacentral:lncRNA from 1 species
GGUUAUUACUAAAAAUGGUUUUGUUUUCUCACAAGUGCUUACAAACUCAAGCAACUUUACUGCUUCAUGAUUAAACAAGAGAAAUCAAUCAAUUUUUCUUCCUCUCUUUUAGAAAUAGGAGCCUGGUUAUGCCUCAACUGAAACAGUCCUCCAGCAAUCCUCUCUGAAGCUUGGUUCUGUGCCAUCGGAGCAAACAGGAGCACUGCCAUCUGCCUCCGUGCAAACAAGAGAUCACCUUGUAUUUCCGCAGCAAAGCUGAAGAAGUAUCAGACCCUGCAAACCGUAACUAAAAGGUGUUUAUUGCCAUGAUUUCCGUGACAAGGGCCGGAGCUGUUUGGUCCUGGGAUUACAGAGGGAGACAGAGGAGGUACCCGAACAUAGGAAAGGUGCAGGGGAAAUAAAAUUACUGGAGGAAGUGGAAAAUGAGAAGCUUGUACACUACCAGAACUCUGAUCCAUCUGCUCAGGUUUGGUUUAUUUGCAAUCCUGAGCCACAAGAGACAACCAAAGUCACCAAGUUGGCAUUCCCAGGGGCGGUUGCUCACAUCUGGUAAAGCUGUCCCUGGGCUACUGCCAUAUGUAAGGACACAAGGUUUUAUGACUUAUUGUCUGCAAGAUUUAUGGAGAUGAUCUACGAUCAGCAAUUUUUCAUAUUCUUAUAUCCUGAGCAAACACACAGAGGGCCGUUCCCAGCACAAUAGGAAGGCGUCAAACAAGGAGGUCUCCUGCACAGGCACUGAGUACAAGCAGCAGGGGACAGGCAUGGCACGCAGGGACCCUUUCUGCUCCCAUUCAUUUCCUGAGACAAAUGAGGCGUGGGGAGAGAAGAAACAAAUUGCAGGAUUAAGAUGAGCUGCCCCACCUUUUUUUAUGAUAUGCGAAUGAGAAGUGUACG